GCCCUCGUCGUUCAAUGGAUAGGACGCCUCCCUCCGAAGGAGGUGAUGCAAGUUCGAUUCUUGCCGAGGGCA
rnacentral:tRNA from 1 species